rnacentral:rRNA from 1 species
GAUGAACGCUGGCGGCGCGCCUAAUACAUGCAAGUCGAGCGACGAAACCGAAGUGGGUAACCACUUCGGCUGAAAGCGGCGAACGGGUGAGUAACACGUGGGUAACGUGCCCCGAACUCCGGGAUAACAACGGGAAACCGUUGCUAAUACCGGAUGACCCCUGCAGAGCGCAUGCUCAACAGGGCAAAGUUUUUCGGUUCGGGAUCGGCCCGCGGCCUAUCAGCUUGUUGGUGGGGUAAUGGCCUACCAAGGCGGUGACGGGUAGCUGGCGUGAGAGCGUGGCCAGCCACACUGGGACUGAGACACGGCCCAGACUCCUACGGGAGGCAGCAGUAGGGAAUCUUGCGCAAUGGGCGAAAGCCUGACGCAGCGACGCCGCGUGAGGGAUGACGGCUUUCGGGUUGUAAACCUCUUUCAGCAGGGACGAAGCCUUACGGUGACGGUACCUGCAGAAGAAGCCCCGGCUAACUCCGUGCCAGCAGCCGCGGUAUACGGGGGGGGCAG